CCACAUCACAUUGAAACACUGUUUCCUGUAUGAUCACCCAAGUUAAGCAAUGUUGAGCUUGGUCAGAACCUAGAUAGGUGACUGCUUGGGAAUACCAGGUGCUGUA